CAUUGCCACCAGGGGAAACACUAGCAUUCGUCCUGUACACACAUACCACCUACGUUAUUUAUUUUCAAUUUGUUCUUUUCUCUUCUUUGCAGGUGCCCAGAGAUGUGAUAAAGGACUGCUCGACUCCGUCUCCGGGCUGAAUCAAAGUGCAAAACAGAGGACCUGACCCAAACAUAACAGGUGCAUUUUCCCACUGAACACCACCAAACACCAACCUCUGCUAAUUCCAUAUGGAAGAAGAAGGCCAACUUAAAUUCCUGACCCACAAAAUGGAAACUGAUGGCAUUGGACCUACUAAUAUGGAGAUAGGUUUGAAAAAGAAGCUUUCUGUAGAGAGGAUAGAUCAAAUAAACAUAAAAGCUAAGGCUGGUAGAUCCGAUCAUGAUUGUCUUUCAUGCUAUUAGGGAAGACACAACUUGUUGACAUUUAAGUUCUGCCACCAAGCUAGAGUGAGGAAGGAAACAAAUAGGAUAUGAUAUCUCAAUGUGUCCUUUCUCAGCUUCGAGGAUAACAAAAAAGAACAAGGAAAACCAGAGAUAAUCUCCCACUACGGGGUUUUAUAGCUCUGAAGCAUGAAGAAAUUGUGUUGGAUAGCUUUUUUGCUAUCAUUUUUUCUGUAAGGUCAGGAGAGCAAUCAUAGCAUUAAGGGACAAGUAGGCAAAGCAGCACAAUCACAGAAUGUCAAAAUGUAUCUGGGGAGGAUGAGAUAAGCAUCUGCGUUCUAAAGCAUAUUAAAAGAAAAUGAUCCUUGAGGGAAGGAAGGAGGAAACCUGAAAUCAUAAGCAUAUUUUUUAAAAACCAGAAAUCCAGACAUCUUAAAGUACCCAUAGGCUAAUAUUCAAUUACAAUUCCUUUCUGCAAGUGUUUACUAAGAAACUACAUCUGAAGAACACUGCUUGAGACCCAAAGCUCCAGGCAUUGGGUAUGUAGAAGUGUGCCUUCAAAAGCUCACAACUACAUCUACAGACAGAUAUUUAUAUAAAUAGCUAUAAUGCAGUAUGAUUAGCCUAGGGUAGAUACCAAUUUUCAGUCUUGUAAACUGGAUCAAUUAGUUUUCUUAGAAAGUCAGACAAAUCCCCAUGGUGACUAGCUUAAAGGGAAUUGGUGCAUUUAAUGAUUUCUAUCCAAUUUGUGUCUAAGGCUGUGGAGACAUCUUAUUAAAAACCUGGGCUCAGGAAAUUCUUGCUCCCACCCUGUGCACCAUACUUUCUACCUGUCUAGCCUGUCAGUCUCCAUUGUUUGGUCUUGACACCUAGAUUCAGACAUUGUGAAGAGACUUAAAAGGAAUAUACUCAUAUGGAUUUGGAGUGAGUGACCUACACAAGGUGUCUAUCUUAAGAAGGACAAGUCUGCAGUCAGUGAAUAUUUCAUUCAAAGGAAAUCCUUUCCCCUUUGUUCCAUUAUAUGGCAGCUUUAUCAGUCCCUGCCAGUCUGCAUUUGCAGCAAUACCCUCCAUUUUCUUUUAUCUCAGGUCUCCUUUCAAUGAUUUUGGUAUAAUUACAUAGAGCUGGAAUCCUUUUGUUUUAUCAUAUUUGCUAUUUAGGCUUUAUCUAUUGACACGGAAGGACACAAUUGUCUGAACUGUGUUCCUAGUGCCAAAUAAUUGAGGUAUCCUGUCCCAAAGAAAUAUUCUGCAACACUUCAUAACUACUGUAUAUCCAAAAUCCACAUCAUCGGGGAAUAUCCUCCAAGGUAAAAUAACUUACAAAAUGGGAUGAAAUUUCCAUGUGCAGGCUCUUCUCCUCAACAUUGAUCUCAAUGCUUCAAAGUAAUGACAGUAAGAUACAGAAGCCAGGGAGGCUGCUAAACAUCUACACUGCACAGGACAGCCUUCUACCACAAGAAUUACUGGCCCAAACCAUCAACAGUGGCAAGGUUGAGAAACCCUGAGUUAGAGUACAAUUUAAAUAUUGUUACACAAAGACACCAAAAUAAGUGACUCAAACAAGAUAGAAACACAACAAAACAAGAUAGAAGUUUUAUUGUCAGCAGUGGAAAGUGGAUCUGUAAACAAACCCAGGUUCCUUCUAUCUUGUUGCUCUGCAUUUCACUAUGGUAUUGUCCCUGUCAAAUGGUUGAGGCUGACUUUCCAGCCUUGUCUUAACUUUUUUUUAAGGGAAGGAAUAAACAUUAUUGUAAUAUUGUUACAAAGAAAAAAGGCUGGAACUAUCUUUUCUUUUAAGUCAGUAAAUAAACUUUAGCAACAUCUUAGCCAUUA